CCUACGGGUGGCAGCAGUGAGGAAUAUUGGUCAAUGGGCGGAAGCCUGAACCAGCCAAGUCGCGUGAGGGAAUAAGGCCCUACGGGUCGUAAACCUCUUUUGCCGGGGAGCAAGGGCCGGGACGCGUCCCGGCCCGGAGAGUACCCGGAGGAAACGCAUCGGCUACCUCCGUGACCGCAGCCGCGGUCAUACGGAGGAUGCGAGCGGUAUCCGGAUUUAUUGGGUUUAACGGGUGCGUAGGCGGGCUUUUAAGUCAGCGGUAAAAAUUCGGGGCUCAACCCCGUCCGGCCGUUGAAACUGGGGGCCUUGAGUGGGCGAGAGGAAGGCGGAAUGCGGGGUGUAGCGGUGAAAUGCAUAGAGAUCACGCAGAACCCCGAUUGCGAAGGCAGCCUUCCGGCGCCCUACUGACGCUGAGGCACGAAAGUGCGGGGAUCGUACAGGAUUAGAUACCCGUGUAGUC
rnacentral:rRNA from 1 species